UACGUAGGGUGCGAGCGUUAAUCGGAAUUACUGGGCGUAAAGCGUGCGCAGGCGGUUCGUUAAGACAGGUGUGAAAUCCCCGGGCUCAACCUGGGAAUGGCGCUUGUGACUGGCGGGCUGGAGUACGGCAGAGGGAGGUGGAAUUUCACGUGUAGCAGUGAAAUGCGUAGAGAUGUGGAGGAACACCGAUGGCGAAGGCAGCCUCCUGGGCCAGUACUGACGCUCAUGCUCGAAAGCGUGGGGAGCAAACAGG
rnacentral:rRNA from 1 species